AAACCUUACUCUAUCCUAUUUUCAUUUUAAUAUAAAAUAAAAUGAUAACCCAAAAACUCAAAAGAAAACAGCCCACAGAAAAGUUUGUCGACAUAGAAAAAGGAUCGCCAGUGCUCACUAUUCUUCGUAUUCUUCCACUUUCCUCAAUCGUAUCGUCGCCAUUGAAAGCAAAAGAAGCUUGGACACUGAAAAGCCCAAAAAAGACCAACGUUUCAUCUACAGAGCUUAAAAAACCGUUUUCAAUCCAAAACUUCUCAUUCAAUUCCAAAUCAUUUAACUCACUAUGUAUCAUCACUGUAAUUCCCACUCCGGUCGUUUCAUGUUUAUAUCAACUUCCUUUAUAAAUUUAGGGUUAGAAACUCGAACCACACCCCAUCAUAAAAAAAAAACUGCACUCAUCUAUUAGUCACCGUUCCUGCUUCUGCGCCUUACGUCACUUAGACAAUAUGCAUCUCGGACGGUCUUCCCAACAGAUUUUUAAGCCACGCAUCCGUUUCUGGCCAUAGGGUAGUGGUGAUCUUUCAAUAGUGCAAGAAACUCUGCUGUAUAUGAAGAACUCAUGGAGAACUGAGGUAUGAAUGAUGUUCUUUUUACUGACUUUUGGCAGGUGAAUUUUCGGAAUCUAAAGAUGGCGUGGUGAGUCUCGCGACUUUCCCUGAUAUCCACCCCGAUUCUAGAGAAGAGCUCUUUGGUCCACGUAUUCAUCCAAGCAGCAUGAGCCAACCACUACCGGCAUAUCUUAGAAGAAGGUCUCAACUUCAACAUUGGAUCACAGAGUUUUCAAAGUCUUCCGAUGACAGAACUCUACAAAAUCAUCAACCACUCUUUCAUCAUCUGAUUCAUCCCUUCCACAACAACCACCAGCUUGACUACCUUCAAGCACCGGAACACCUUAUCAGCGAUAAGGUGAGGUUGCAUAUAUGACAACUGACAAGGACAAUGUGGAGACUGACUAAAAAUAGUUCUUAAUGAAAAUAGGUUCUUUUACAACGGAGGCUGUGGUAGAGUCGAGAGACACAAGGGAUGGUGUUCAACAUGAGAAUGAAAUUACCUCUAAAGCGUUCAGGACAUGUAAUAUGUUUUACCUAGCUAAUAGCCAUGGAAUAUAUAUGUACGAUCAAAAUAAGAACACAUUACAUUUAUGAGGGGAAUCAACUGUGAAACUCAAAUACAUUGGAAAAUAUCACAAUGUUUUACUAGAGUUAAAGAAGGAAGGAAAAAAACAAAUAUGUCUAGACAAGAAUAAAAUGUGAUGAUUUUGGGAGUUGGUGGAAUUGAUGGUCAAGGGAAAUUGUGGUAAGCGAACAAAUCGGCAAAAAAGAAUGAUCAGGGGGCACAACAACAAAAUUGAAGAACUAUAACAGUUGGUUUAGAAAGUUGAAUUAUCACAAGAACCACUCAAACUCUUAACAAAGAUAAAAAAAAAAAUAUUAGUGUUUAGGCUAAACAAAACAAUAAAGCCCAGAAAAAUAUGUUAUAUUAUUUUCGACGUACAAAUAUUAUUCUCGACAUGAUACCCGUGCUUUCGCGGAGCUAAGACUCCUAGUUACUUUUUUUUUUUUGAACAUAAACCCCCCUAGUUACUUUAAUAUUUAAUUAUCCGAGUUGCCAGUGGUUAAUAAUAGAAAUCCUGAGCUUUGACCAAAAAAAUAAAAAUAAUAAUAAUAGAAAUCAUGAACAACAUGCGGGUAUGUCUAAUCUAAUGAGGUAGGUUUCUUGUUAUGUUCAUAACUCAACGUUAUAAAAUAAUUACAAUUCACGAUUUUUUAAACAUGCGGUAUAGUUGUAAUAUCUUCACACAUGUAGACGGAUCCCCUCUUCGUUGUUAUUUUACUCACAAUAAACGGAUCCGCUUCGUUGUCUUUAUAUUGCAUGUACCAACUCGAGUACAGCUACACAUGUAUAUUAUUUAUAAUCAAAAUUCAUCACGCAAUGAUUUGCCUGAUUAGUAGAUAUAAUCAUAUGGAUAUAAUGACAAAAUUUGGGUUUUAACAUAACAGACUGUUACACAGUAACAUAAAAAUCGACAAGUAUAUUUUUUUUUGCCAUCUUAUCUUAUUUUAUUAUGUUAUAAAAGACCAAAACCCAUACAGUACAAAACCCCAAAAAAACCAUACAGAUACAAAGUCCAAACUAUAGGUAAAGUAAAGAACUAAAGAUGGGCUUCGAAGCCCAAACAUAAGAACCCGAAACCAACCAAACCAACUCGACAAACACGCAUCGAGAUAUUUUAAACGAGAAAAACA